GUCUCUGUAGCGCAAUGGAUAGUGUGUUGGACUUCUAAUCAAAGGGUGUGGUUUCAAAUUCCACCUGGGAUG